UCAACUUUGGGAUUCAUACUGAAUUCAUGUUUGCUGCCUAUCAAAAGAAAAACUACAUUCUUGCUUCUGUUUCUGAUUUUUCAAACUAUACUCUUUUCUUGAGUUGAUACCUAGCAAUCCUUUAUUCUAGUUUGGGUAAAUAGAGGAAGUCUCUUAUGGAUGUUUCUUUAGAAUUUGGUAAGUGAUGCCAAUGAGCUAUAGCUCAACUGUCCCUUUGUGGUGGGUUCGACACCUAGUAGGUGCAUGUGUUUACCAAAACAAAAAAAAAAAAAAGGUAGGUGAUUUCAACUUUGUUAAGUUUUUUGGUAGUAGAUAAUGGGAUGGGAGUAUGGGGAAAAACAGACAGGAGAAACUGAAAAUCUCUCUUGUGGUUGGUUUAAAAAUUAUUAAGUUCUAUGCCCAUUAUAAAAUCUAUUUCCCCAUUUUGUUUCUUUUGCCUUGGGAACUUAAACUAGGACUAAAUAGUCACUAUACUGGCCUAUGAAGGGUACCAGUUUGGUGUUAUAUUGAAAGUACCACAUUUUGAGAUUCAUUCUGUCUUUAUUUCUAACAAUUCUUGUUGCCUUAUAUUUAUUUAUUUUAAAAUCAUUGUUUGGAUUAGGAUCAGGAUUAUAAUUUGGUUGGUGGAGACUAUUUUAGCAAUAGGGUGUUGUAUUCACUUGGAUAAUGUUAUUGGAAUAAUAAGUUAUUGGAAUUUUGUGGGAGAUUGAAUAAGGCUAGCUUUUUUGUGGCCAUAGUAGAGUACUAUGGUGGGGCUUGCCGAGGGUGUGUUAUGAUACCAGCAAGCACUAACCGUUCUGGGUGGUCUUUGUUUCACAAAGAGUUAGGCUUCUUCUUCUCUGGUGACAAAUCAAGGCUAGGUUAUGGAGGUGAGAGCGGUUUUAUUUUUGCCAGCCAAUGGUGGCCGGAAUAGGCAAGCUAUGAACAAUUAUGGUAACUAGUGGAAGCUUAGGAAUUUUGAAAUUUUUGGAGAUAAUCUAGGUAAUAAUGUGAUUCUUUGUGGCUCUACCAAAAAUAGACCCACACAUGCAUUUAUUUUUAAGUUGACUGUUGAGAAUUUGGCUUUGAGAAUUUUUAAACCAAAAGAUGGGAAGGGAAAGUGCUUUAGGCUAAAGCCCAAUGAAAUUACUAAAUAUGAACCUUUUAAUGAAGAAGCUCAAGGGCCCAUUCCUCCUAUUUUUAAUAGGAUUGACUUUCCUAGGCUUGACAAAGCCCAUAUGCUGGCUCUGGAAGACCCUAAAGGUAAAGGGCCUCUUAGUUCAACCCUUAGCCCAGACCGUAGCCCAACCCUUAUAUGUGCUGGGGUCUCAAGUUCUGAAUCCGAUAGAGAACCAAUUGGGUGAGAGCAAGUCUCGGGGUUUGAAGCCGAUAGAGAGAUAGGUAGGUGAGAGUUCGAGUGGCGAUGGGAAGUUGUCGAUGAGAAUUUUUGGUGCUCCGGAGACUGGCACAGACUUGGCGUCAAGGUGUAUCUCAUCUGCCUUCAAUCUUGAUUUCGUAGAGGUUGAUCCUUCUAUGGUCACGGGCUUCGAUGCCAAGGUAACCCAUGGGAUAGGUAACCGAAAUUUUGGGUUCACUAGAGAGAUGGUGGCUAGCUCGGCGGCGGUGGCAUUUGAGUCUCCGAUUAUGAAAGAAGUGUUGCCGAUCCUUUGUCGGCACAUAUGGGUGGUUCAAAAUCGUUUUUCUCCUCUUUCAGACUUGGGUAAUGGGGUGGAAGCUGAGUUUGGGGAAAGGGAGGAUCAUGACAAAGCUUUUGAUGUGGGUGGCCACCAUGAUGAUACGACAUAGCGGAGGUCAGUGGAUUAUGUUGGGGAACUUCAGAGUGAUUCUAGGCUUCUCCUUCUACCGUGGGAUAACAGUGGGGUUGAUGACCAUGGCUGUGGUAGUGGAGAGAAUGAUAAUUGUUUGUUGGAGUGUGACCCUUUGUCUCGGUGGGAUCCCAGCGAACUCAGAGAUUUGUUGCUGGUUCAGGAUACUGUAAAGGGUACUCAGGUGACAGAAGUUGAUGAAGAUUUUUUGUAAUAUGGUGGGUUUUCCAAUUGUGAAACAUGCAGCUCAAUUUUUGGUUCUAUUUUGUCUUCUUGAACUAGAAUGUCUCGAGGUGACCAAGGAUGAGGUGGCUAAGCGAACUAUAAACCCAAGGACAAGAGGUCUCAGAGAGCUUAAGGGGCUGAUUUCUUCUGUUAAUUAUGAUGGUAUCUCCUCUAGGAGUAGGAAUAGAGUUUGUUCUAAUGUUGUCGGGGGUGUUGGUAAUUUUAAAUGAAUUUGCGACUUUUGUCUUGGAAAGUAAGGGGGCUCAACAAUCCCCGGAAGAGAUAGGUUUGUAAGAAACUUCUUAAAGAGUGGAAAUGUGAUUUUGUUUGUUUCUAGGAAACUAAAAUAUACUCUAUUGAUGCUGCUUUUGUUUGGAGUUUAUGGGGUAGUCCUUUCAUUGACUGGGUGGUGUUAGAUGCGGUCCAGUCUUCAGGAGGGAUCUUGAUGAUUUGGGAUAAGAGGGUUUUUGAAAAUAUGGAUGUUAUGGUUGGACAAUUUUCUGUCAAUGUCUUAUUGAGAGGGGUGGUGGAUGGUUUUGUUUGGGGUUGUACAGGUGUGUAUGGCCCUAAUGAUGAUGGUCAAAGGGCUGCUUUGUGGGAGGAGUUGUCAAGGGUGCGUGAUAGGUGGACCAUGGUAUGGUGCUUGGUAGGUGACUUCAACAUUAUUAGAUACCACGAGUGAGAGGCUUGGUUGUGAGUCUUUUUAUAGAGAGCAAUUUCUUAGUGGAUUUACCAUUAGAGGGGUUUAUUUCACUUGGUUUAGAGAUUCUAGAAUAUGCUCUAUGUUGAGAAUAGACAGGGCUUUGGUAUCAUUAGAUUGAGAGGAUCAUUUUGGGAAUGUCUCUCAAAGGGUGCUUCCUUGGGUUAUUUCGGACCAUUGUCUACUUUUGUUGGAAGUUGGUGGUUUUCGUCAAGGUUGUUGUGCCUUUAAAUUUGAGAAUAUGUGGCAGAAAGCUAAGGGAUUUGUUGAAGUAGUUUAGCAAUGGUGGACUGGGUAAUGUUUUGUGGGCUCUCCAAGUUUUGUUUUGGCCCAAAAAUUAAAGGCUCUGAAAGUUGAUCUAAAAAAUGGAAUAGGGAGGAGUUUGGGGAUUUGGCCUUUAGAAAGAAGAGCUUGCUGUUUGAAUUAUUGGGUUUAGAUGCUAGAGAAGAGUUCCUGGGCCUUUCGAAUGAGGAUCAGAAUCGUCGUAUUCAGAUCAAAGGUGACAUAGAACAUUUGGCUUCUAUGGAGGAGACUUUCUGGAGACAAAAGUCUCGUGUCUUGUAUGUGAAGGAGGGCGACAACAAUACUCAAUUCUUUAAUAGGUUAGCAAACUCCCAUAGAACAGCUAACCAAAUUAAGAGGAUUGAGGUGGAUGGUGUUCUUUAUGAGGAUGGGUCUGAUUUGUGAUCUCGAGUAGUUCAUUUCUACUAGAAGUUGUAUGAGGAAACCGAAGUGGGGCGCCCUACUACGAAUGGGUUAGAUUUUGCAUGUAUAAAGGAGGAAGAGAGGUUGUCCUUAGAGAGAGAGAGAGAGAAUUCACGAAGGAGGAAGUCAUCUAGGUCUUGAGGGAGAUGGAGGGGGAUAAAGGCCCUGGUCUGGAUGGGUUCACGAUGGCUUUUUUUCACAAAUGCUGGACUGUUGUGGAAAAGGAUGUUAUGGAUUUUUUUGAACACUGUCAUCAACACUCCGUGUUCGAGCAGUCUAUGAAUGCUUCUUUUCUCACUUUAAUUCCUAAGAAGAGUAAUGCCAUUAAUAUUAAAGAUUUUUGCCCUAUCAGUUUGGUGGGCAAUGUGUAUAAGUUGCUGUCAAAGGUGUUGGCUAAUAGAUUGAGGGCAGUGUUGGAUAAUCUCAUUUCUGAGUCUCAAAAUUCCUUUGUUGGUGGAAGGCAAAUUCUAGAUUUAGUGUUCAUUGCUAAUGAGUGCCUAGAUAGUAGGUUGAAGAGCUGUGGGUGUGGUUUGCAAGCUUGAUAUCGAAGAAGCAUAUGACCAUGUGAAUUGGGAUGCUUUGUUAUAUCUAUUGUGUCAGAUGGGUUUUAGGGUGAAAUGGAGGGGGUGGAUUAAGGCCUGUGUUACUUCUACUCGUUUUUCUGUCCUAGUAAAUUGGCUUCCCUAAAGGUUUUUUGGAAGCUCUUGCGGUUUGCAACAAGGUGAUCCACUAUCCCUCUUUUGUUUCUUUUGAUAAUGGAGGUUUUGAGCAGAAUUUUGAGAAAGACGAAGGAGAGCGAUCUUAUUCGGGAUUUUCAAGAGGGAGCAGUGAAUUCUGUUGAUGCGCGUAUUUCCCAUUUUUUGUUUGCGAAUGACACUAUUUUAUUCUGUGAUGCUUCUAGGGGAUAGCUUCUUUCCAUAAGGUUGGUUUUGUCUCGUUUUCAAGCUUUUACGGGGUUGAAGGUUAAUGUUGGGAAAAGUGAGAUUGUACUUGUUGGGGAGGUGAGUAACCUGGAUGUCUCGGCUAAUAUUCUUCGGCGUAGAGUGGGCAGUUUGCCUAUGAAAUAUUUGGGAAUGCCUUUGGGAACUUCGUUUUAAGACAGUUUCUAUUUGGAACCCUAUUUUGGAGAAGAUGGGGAAGAAACUAUCAGGGUGGAAGCGUCUCUAAUUAUCUAAGGGUGGUAGGCUCACGUUAUUGAAGAGUACUCUCUCAAGUCUCCCAACGUUCUAUUUAUCUUUGUUCACCAUUCCUAAGGUUGUGGCUGCAAGAUUGGAAAGUAUCCAGAGGAAUUUUAUUUGGGGGUCUUUAGAGGGGUGCUUCAAAUACCCUUUGAUGGCUUGGGAAAAUGUGUGUUCACCCAUUGAGGUGGAUGGUUUGGGGACAAGAAAUGUGGUGUCUUUUAACCAAGCCUUGUUAAGGAAAUGGCUGUUGAGAAUUUGGAGAUAUGGACAUGAAGUUAACCAUUUCUGGCAUAGAGUUAUCUCCACUAAAUAUGGAGAGGGUCAAGGGGGGUGGAGCACUAAAGUUUGCAAGAGGGCUCAUGGAUGUGCCUAUGGCGUAGUAUUCAAGAGGGAGAGCUUUUCUAAGCAUCUUUCGUUUUUAGUGGGUGAUGGCACUCGUAUCCGUUUAUGGCAUGAUCAAUGUAGUCAAAGGCGUUUCAGGCAAGCACCUAGGCGCUCAGGCAAGGCGAGGCGGUGUAAAAGCGCCUCAAGGUCACUGAGGCGAGGUGCCUUUAGUGAGGCGAGCGCCUCUGUCGACUAGUCGCUCGCCUUGAACAGUUUUUCCGGGUGUUAGGCGAGAGCCUCCGUCGCCUUUGUUUUCUUGUCGCCUUUGUUUUCUUUCCGGGGACUUGGUUUUGUUAAAAAGAUAACUGGCUUUUUCUUAAUUUAUAACUUAAUUUUGUCUUUUAGUAACAUUAGUGGGGUUUGAGUUGGCAGCCACUAAUGUUUAAUAAAAAGCAUAUCAGACCUUAGCUUUUUAGAACCACAAAUAAAUAAUAAAAUAAUAUAUAAGUACAUGGACCUUCUAGCCACUACAACAGUUGCCCAAUAGUACCCUACCUCAACAGGUUUUAUUUCUACUUUUAAAUUUAUAACAUUAUUUUAUUCCUAUUUCCUACAUGUAAUUUUAAUUUAAAAAGCUCUCUUUUUUACUAUUGCUUCUCAUUCUCCGGACCUCUCUGCUCUCUUUUCUUUUUUUGUUUUUGUCUUUCUUCUUUUUUUCUACUCCUUUCUUACUUAGAGCAACUCUCUCUGUUCUUUUCUUUCCCUCUCCUUUCUUACUCAAAGCAGCUCUCUCUGUUCUUUUCUUUCCCUCAUAGCUCCCCUCUGUCAGUUUUUUUCCCCUCUAGUCUCUAAUAGCAACUCUCCUCUUUUUAUUUUUAUUCCUAUAAUCUCUCUUCUUCUUUUUUUGGGCCCUAUUGGAUUCAACACAAAAACUGGUUUUAUAGACUAAUUCCUAUGCAUUAGGAACAAGGCUAGCGCCUUUUUGGCGCCUCGUCGCCUUGGGCGAUACAAGGCCUUAGCGCCUCAAGGUCGCCUGACGCCUUUGACUACCUUGGGCAUGAUAAGUGGAUUGGUUAUAAUACCCUCAAAUCCCUAUAUCUUGAGCUCUACGUGUGUUCAAUUGACAAGGAAGCUUGUGUCUCUAAGGUUUUGUGGCUUCUAGAGGGGGGAAAUGUUAGAAUUUGGGAUAUGAGACUUUACAGGUAAUUUCAAGACUGGGAGCUAGCUGCAUCUUAUUCACUUCUUGCGUUUAUCCAAUCUCACAUUCCCCAGGGUACGAGAAGUGAUGCUCUUUGUUGGCGUCUCAAAGGUAAUGGUAGGUUUGACAUCUAGUCUUUCUACCAUAAGAUUUGGGUUGCUCAAAGUUCUUUGUUCCCUUGGAAGGGUAUUUGGAAAUCUAAGGUUCCUAAGCAAGUGGCUUUCCUUUUGUGGACGGUUGCUCAUGGUUGGAUUCUUACUCUGGAUAAUCUCAUGCUUAGGGGACGUUCUUUGGAAAAUCGGUGUUGUUUGUGUCGUUGUGAUGGGGAAUCGGUGGACCACUUACUUCUACAUUGUCCUGUUACACAUACAUUUUGGAUUUAUAUGCUUUAGGUCUUCGAGAUGUAUUGAGUCAUGCUAGACUCGGUGGCAGGUUUAUUUUUGUGCUAGCAUCAAUGGCUUGGGAAUUAUACUUUGAAUGUUUGGAAUUUGAUCCCAAUUUGUUUGAUGUGUAUUGUAUGGUUGGAACAAAACCACCGCUCUUUUGAGGACAUUGAGAAGACGUUGGAAGAGUUAAUUGUGCUCUGCUAGCAUAGUCUCUUUGAUUGGUCUCGUUGUUGGGGUUUUACUGAUUGUUCCUCUCUACAUGAGUUUAUGCUUUCACUUAGAUUUAUUUCCGGAUUUUUUUUUUUCAUUUCCUGUUGUUCAUCAUCAUGAACUUGUAUUUUUCCUAAUUUUUUCAUUAAUAAUUCUUAUGAUUACCUAUCAAAAAAAAAAAUGUUAUUACAUGUUUACAUUGUGUAUAACUCUUUGGAGGCAUUGAGAAGAUUGGGAAAUGAAACAGAGUUAGAUGAAAAUAUGUGCAGAAGAUGCACUUGAUCUAAGAUGAUUUGCUUUAUCUGAAUCUUAAUUGUAUGCUAACACCUCUGUUAACAUUUCUUCUCUGUCUUGUACUUGCAUAUUGUGUUGCUUUUAGCUAUGAUAAAUGGAUAGAAAAUUUGUUACUAAAGUUUAUAUUUGGUUGCAUACAGAGGAAUCUUACAUUUGGGGGAACUUCAUUUUAUCUAUUAUUUGUUGAGUUUUAUACAAAUAAAAUAAUAACUAAUGUUUUGUGUUUUCCUACAGAAAAAUUUGAACAAUAUCUUUUAAAUCUACUAGUCUAGAAUGAGAUGUCAAAUCAGUAGGUUCAGCCAGAACAAAUUUCUUAUUGACAUGGAUUUGACACUUAGUUUCAUCAAUAUGUUGGACAGAUGGUUGUUUUAUGAUUCAGUGCUUUGUCAUUGUUUGAUGGAUCUAGGUUGCGUAAUUUUAUGAUGUUUUCCUCCAUUUAUUUGUUUGUUAAUUUUUUAUUUUUCAUUU